GAGGAGUUGAUGAGAACUCUAAUCCAUUCUCUGAGCGAGAAGGAUGGCCGAAGCGGGUUCGCAUUUGAGGCAUUAAGGUAGACGACAGAGUUCUUCUGGAAACUACUGCCUCGCGCUGACGUC
rnacentral:snoRNA from 15 species